GAUUCCCCUAGUAACUGCGAGUGAAGCGGGAAAAGCUCAAAUUUAAAAUCUGGCGGUCUUUGGCCGUCCGAGUUGUAAUCUAGAGAAGUGUUACCCGCGUCGGACCGUGUACAAGUCUCCUGGAAUGGGGCGUCAUAGAGGGUGAGAAUCCCGUCUUUGACACGGACUACCGAGGCUUUGUGGUGCGCUCUCAAAGAGUCGAGUUGUUUGGGAAUGCAGCUCAAAAUGGGUGGUAAAUUCCAUCUAAAGCUAAAUAUUGGCGAGAGACCGAUAGCGAACAAGUACCGUGAGGGAAAGAUGAAAAGAACUUUGGAAAGAGAGUUAAACAGUACGUGAAAUUGCUGAAAGGGAAACGCUUGAAGUCAGUCGCGUUGGCCGGAAAUCAACCUUGCUUUUGCUGGGCGUACUUUCUGGUUGACGGGCCAGCAUCAGUUUUGACCGAUGGAAAAAGUCUAGGGAAAUGUGGCAUCUUCGGAUGUGUUAUAGUCCUUGGUCGUAUACAUCGGUUGGGNCUGAGGAACUCAGCACGCCNCAAGGCCGGGUCAUUGACCACGUUCGUGCUUAGGAUGCUGGCAUAAUGGCUUUAAUCGACCCGUCUUGAAACACGGACCAAGGAGUCUAACAUGCCUGCGAGUGUUUGGGUGGUAAACCCGAGCGCGUAAUGAAAGUGAAAGUUGAGAUCCCUGUCGUGGGGAGCAUCGACGCCCGGACCUGAAGUUUUCUGACGGAUCUGCGGUAGANCAUGUAUGUUGGGACCCGAAAGAUGGUGNNCUAUGCCUGAAUAGGGUGAAGCCAGAGGAAACUCUGGUGGAGGCUCGUAGC
rnacentral:rRNA from 1 species